CGGCACACAGGACAACGCGCCGGCCCUUUUUUACCGGUUACCUGACUUAGCUGGACUUUAGCAUGGAAUAAUAAAAUAGGACGUGUGGCUCUAUUUUGUUGGUUUCUAGGACCGCCGUAAUGAUUAAUAGGGACAGUCGGGGGCAUCAGUAUUCAAUUGUCAGAGGUGAAAUUCUUGGAUUUAUUGAAGACUAACUACUGCGAAAGCAUUUGCCAAGGAUGUUUUCAUUAAUCAGGAACGAAAGUUAGGGGAUCGAAGACGAUCAGAUACCGUCGUAGUCUUAACCAUAAACUAUGCCGACUAGGGAUCGGACGGUGUUAUUUUUUGACCCGUUCGGCACCUUACGAGAAAUCAAAGUGCUUGGGCUCCAGGGGGAGUAUGGUCGCAAGGCUGAAACUUAAAGAAAUUGACGGAAGGGCACCACCAGGGGUGGAGCCUGCGGCUUAAUUUGACUCAACACGGGGAAACUCACCAGGUCCAGAACAUACUAGAUGCAUUCCGCGAGGGGCCGGCAAA
rnacentral:rRNA from 1 species